AAGGGUGGGGUCAUCUAAGAUAGCACAAAGGUUAAGCCAGGCUUUUCCAAAGUCUGGCUUGUGGGCCAAAUCAGGCCCACAUUCAAAUUUUCAUCGACCCGCAGGCCCCCUGUCAUAAAAUCAACAAUAUACCCCCCAACUUUCUAAGAACUGUGAUUUCUUGACUGUUGUUGACCUUUCAACAUAUUCAUUCAGUGAUCGCUUCAGCUUUCACUGCUUUUUGCAGGUGACCUCCCCUCUUUUUUGAAUUAACCUGUAUUUUAUCCAGGCUGGGGACCAGCACAGGGAAACCCCUUUUAGCUACUUAGAUAAGCAGUAGCACAAAGGGUCUUGCCCAAAGAACCACACAAUUUCUUCACUGUGAUUGGCUAAAUUACAUUAUAAGCCGUUUUAAACAUGUGGCUACUUGACCUUCAGAGCCUGAAGGGCCAAACUAGGAAAACAGGUUAUUUGGUUUCUGUAAUCGAAACCACAGGGUUUUGUAGAUCUGAAUCAGAUGUUACUAGUUGUGUUGUUUUCCUGUUCAUGAUUUAAAUUCAGAAGUUUACAUCAGGCAUUUGAUCGUUAAUAACAGGUUACAUGUCAUGUGAACCCAGAUGUUGAAAAAAGGUUUUAAUCCAGACAGAAUUUACUUCUUCAAAAAUUCAGAAGAUUGCUGUAAUUUUGCUAAAAGCUUAUUACUUUUAUUUCUGUUCUAUGAAAGUAUCCCAUUUCUGGAAAAAAAAAGAAUUUCAUUAAAUAGUUCAUUUGCAUUUAACGUUAUUGAAAGGGUUCAAAGAAUGCAGGUUGAAUGGUUGGCCCCUCACUCGUUUUUACCUCAUCAAGCCUGCCCCCUUUGUAAAACGUUUGAACAUCCCUGCUUUAACCCCUGCAUGGCUGACUUUAUAUUCAAUUAAAUUAAAAAAAAUAUCACGUUUUUUUUUCCAUUUAAGGUGAUGCAAAAUUAAGCAGAGUCCAAGAUUUAAUGGUAUGUUGUGAAUUAGGGACAUACGGCAAUGAAGGGGUUACUAGUGUGAUGUAAGCUUGUCACAGGGGAGAUUUACAUGGAGGCACAAUCAAGUGCGGAAAUGCUUAGCAGCAGCUGUUGCAUGCAAGCACAUAAAUAAAUGCAACGACGCGGAACAAGAAGUGGGGCUUUGUAUCUUUAAAGGAGAGAAGUGCAGCCCACCGACAGACUGUGGGAAAGCCACUGGUCAGUUGGAUGAAACUGGAGACUGACAUUUGAGAUCAAACUUUGGAGCCCAGGCUCUUAGACAAAUGUAAAAGUCCAGAAAUGGUGUUGGGGUAUGAACAUAUUGUGUAUUUCAUAGAGCUCAUAGUUUCCCAGGAGACCUCUGCAGAAAGGCAAAUUAAGGAAGAAGGAAAAAAACAAACAUUUGGAAGCAACAACAGAGGAACACUGAUGAAGAGUUAGGCCCCGCCCAGUGGAAGAUGUUUAUGUUUCCUUUGUAAAGUCAGCUUGCUUCCUGCUGAGAGAUCAUGGUAUAGCUGACUAACAAACUGGCCGCCCCGGCUGGUUGUAGUGAGUUCUUAAAUAGAAACGAUGGUCAAUCAGAAGCUGCACCUGCACAGUUGGAUAGCAGGCCCUAAAGCCAGGAGGUGCCCAUUAAAGAUCUCCAUUCUCCAAGCAAUAGGAAACAGAAAGAUCCCCUGUUGACAGGUGAAGAACAAAGACUAAGCAUUUUGAAGAAAAAUCCCUCAAUUUCAUGGGGGGACAAUGCCAACUCCAUAAAAUGGUGCAGCCAUGAUAUUAAGACAAUA